CCUACGGGAGGCAGCAGUGGGGAAUAUUGCGCAAUGCGGGAAACCCUGAUGCAGCGACGCCGCGUGAGUGAAGAAGGAUUUCGGUAUGUAAAGCUCUAUCAGCAGGGAAGAAAAUGACAGUAACUGACCGAGAAGCCCCGGCUAACUACGUGCCAGCAGCCGCGGUAAUACGUAGGGGGCAAGCGUUAUCCGGAUUUACUGGGUGUAAAGGGGGCGUAGACGGUUAUGUAAGUCUGGAGUGAAAGCCGGGGUCCCAACCCCGGGACUGCUUUGGAAACUGUGUAACUGGAGUACAGGAGGGGCAGGCGGAAUUCCUGGUGUAGCGGUGAAAUGCGUAGAUAUCAGGAGGAACACCGGCGGCGAAGGCGGCCUGCUGGACGGAAACUGACGUUGAGGCUCGAAAGCGUGGGGAGCAAACAGGAUUAGAUACCCUUGUAGUC
rnacentral:rRNA from 1 species